rnacentral:lncRNA from 1 species
CUCUUCCUGGUGGACCAGCAUGCUGCGGAUGAGAAGUACAACUUUGAGAUGCUGCAGCAGCACACGGUGCUCCAGGCGCAGAGGCUCAUCACGUGGGUGCACACAGGCUUCAGAGUUCCCAGGACCCCAGACUCUGAACUUAACUGCUGUCAAUGAAGCUGUACUGAUAGAAAAUCUGGAAAUAUUCAGAAAGAAUGGCUUUGACUUUGUCAUUGAUGAGGAUGCUCCAGUCACUGAAAGGGCUAAAUUGAUUUCCUUACCAACUAGUAAAAACUGGACCUUUGGACCCCAAGAUAUAGAUGAACUGAUCUUUAUGUUAAGUGACAGCCCUGGGGUCAUGUGCCGGCCCUCACGAGUCAGACAGAUGUUUGCUUCCAGAGCCUGUCGGAAGUCAGUAAAACCCAUCCGUGCUUUGAAACAAAACUGCAGUCUGCCAAAGAAAUCAUUGGCUAAUUCUGCUUGUAAAGAAAACGCGCACGUCUUCCAAAAGCCAUGGUGAAAGAAAAGAAAAAAGCGGACAAGAAAGGAGAUAAGUCAGCCCGCUCUCCCUCCUCCAUUUCUGAUAACCCAGAAGCCUCGAAACAAGAUAGCAAUGCCAGUAAGCAAGAAGUGGCCCCCAGUGCUGUUGUCCCAGUCGUGGAAACACCACUCAAGCAAGCCCCGAAAAGAGACUCAGUACAAAUGGAGCAGAGUGAAGAGGAGACUCAGUACGAAGAGCC